ACAGUCCUGCCAUGGUGAAAAGGAUAGUGACGAGGGUCAGAGUGGCCUGUGCCAGGAAAGGAUAACGACCUCUCCACUUCAGACCAAGAUGCUGCCUCCCUCCUGCUGCCAGUCCACCCAAGACCUGUUCAUUGUUUCUUCCGGAUUUCUCAGGAACCCAACUUCCUUCCUUCUCUCGUUACAGUCAUCAUCCCAAUUCAGUUUGUUAUGACCUCAGUUCCAGCACUUGACCUCUCAUCCUGUUAGUUCAUUCUGCACACCGCUUACUAGUUGUGUGACCUCGGGACAAACAAAACACAUCCACGGGCUGUAUCCAGCUUGUGGACUGCCUGUUUACGGCCUACAGGUUCCAGAGUCAUCUGCUCCCAGCUCCGAAAUCAAAAAUUAUCACGUGGAAUCUUGUUGUUCAGGAUUCCUAAGAAGAAACUGGCUGCCAAAGCCCUGCAUGAGAAAUGGGUAGAGGCAGCCUCACCCCACUAACCUGCCUUGCAGAUGGGGCUGCCUCCCGGACCUGCUGGGCCAGUUUGGCCAGGGCAUUGACAAGCCAGCACUGGCGGUUAAACUCCUCUCUCAGCCCCUUGCCACAGCAGCACAGUAAGGCUGCCAGCAGAUACUGGUAGCGGAUGCUGAACUGAGAGUCCUUGAGACCAUCCUUCAGCAACCUGCAAGGCAGAGGGAGUCCGGAGUCAGAGCACUCCAGGGGUUAAAGGCAAGGGUGCAGGGGGAGACAGAGUCAAGUCCAGCUCCAACUCACUGCAAAACCCCCCUGAACUUGGGAGGGAAAAUACACUCUGUAUGUACGGCUUAUAUGGAGAUGUUCACCUGUGCCCAUACCCCAGUCUGUGCCCUCACUCUGUCUUUAAGUAGAGUUCACAGCCCCUCUGCAUCUUGUUUCCCCUUCCUAUUUCUGCCAUGUGUGGAUAGAGGAGAGACAGGAUAACAUAAUCCUCACUAUGUUACAUGGGGGUGAGCUGAGACCCCUGAGGAAAAGAUGCUGGGCCAAGGCCACAGGGUAAGUCAGCAACAUACUGAAGCUCGGACAACUCAGCUCCUUGCCCUUGCGUGCCUAAGAGUGAAAUACUCCUGUGUGAAAGACACGUGUCUACCUCCCACUUUUCUACAUGCAGUUUUACCAGAAGAAGUAGUGAGUCACUCUCAAGUCAGACACAGCUCGUUUCAGAAGGAAGCGCACCAACGGGCUGUCCAGGUAGCACUCAUACUUCAGGGCCUGUUUCGGAGAAAGGGAGAAAGAAAAUAUGAAGCUUCAUAAACUGCCUGUAACCUACACCUAUUAUUAUUGCACUGGGAUCUCUGGUUUCUAAGGGGCAGACUCACUUGGGAUAUUGGGGAUGAGACCAGCAAAACUGGAGGGAGAACCAAUCCACCCACCUGUACCAGCUGGGGCAGGUAGUCCAGCAGCUCAGCAUCCGAGAGUGAGCCAAUCCACUGCACGGCCAUACGACGCACCUCCUGAUCCGGGAAGCUGCAAAACAGAGCCCAGUGCCCUGACAACCUAGCUGCAGGUUGAGGAACAGCUGUGAGCCAAGCACCCUCACACCUGGGCUUCAGAGGCAUGGAGAAAGAAAAGGCAAUGGCCCUAGUUCUGCCAAAGUCACUAGAAGAAUCCUUAGCACCUUCCCUGGAUAGCAACCCUUGGGAAUGAGCCUUCUUCAUGGUCAGAGUCUACCUUGAGCCAUGGGGGAGCAAUUGGGUAGCCACUCUCGCUCCUUAGAUGAUUUAAAGAAAACGGGACAAAGUCCUCAAUCCUACUCCCAAAGAGUUCUCUCUUGACUCCCACUGUGUCAGAAAUUCCCACCACUGGAGGGCCCUGAUGUGGGUAAAAGCAUUAUUUUGUCUUGGUAACAUCCUUUAAUGCAAAAUGUACCAGGCAAAUGACAGAAAAUCACAGAAUUUUAUAUAAGCCAAUAAACAUUGGCAGAAUUAGUUUAGCAGACAUUAACAAAACCAUUGGCUCAAAAACUCCUUAAGGCAAGUCACGUGAAUAGGUACAUUUUUAUUACUGAGAGUGGUGAGAAAUAAGCAGGAAAUCCUGGGUACCAUCUAGAAAAGGCAGCCCUAACGGAUCUGAGACUGGAAGCUUUGGGUCCCCAGAGAAGCUUUGGGUCCCCUUCAAGAGAAAGAGGGGAGAGACGAUGGUUAAAAUAAAACUAAGUAAUAAGGAUUUCA